UACAGAGGGUGCAAGCGUUAAUCGGAAUUACUGGGCGUAAAGCGCGCGUAGGUGGUUAGUUAAGUUGGAUGUGAAAUCCCCGGGCUCAACCUGGGAACUGCAUUCAAAACUGACUGACUAGAGUAUGGUAGAGGGUGGUGGAAUUUCCUGUGUAGCGGUGAAAUGCGUAGAUAUAGGAAGGAACACCAGUGGCGAAGGCGACCACCUGGACUGAUACUGACACUGAGGUGCGAAAGCGUGGGGAGCAAACAG
rnacentral:rRNA from 1 species